GUAGCUCAGUCGGUUAGAGCACCGUCUUGAUAAGGCGGGGGUCGUUGGUUCGAAUCCAACC
rnacentral:tRNA from 1 species